CCUACGGGUGGCUGCAGUGGGGAAUAUUGGACAAUGGGCGAAAGCCUGAUCCAGCCAUGCCGCGUGUGUGAAGAAGGCCUUCGGGUUGUAAAGCACUUUCAGUGGGGAAGAAAGCCUUGGGGCUAAUACCCUCGAGGAAGGACAUCACCCACAGAAGAAGCACCGGCUAACUCCGUGCCAGCAGCCGCGGUAAUACGGAGGGUGCGAGCGUUAAUCGGAAUUACUGGGCGUAAAGCGCGCGUAGGCGGUCUGAUAAGCCGGUUGUGAAAGCCCCGGGCUCAACCUGGGAACGGCAUCCGGAAUGGUGCGGGGAAAGGGAAGGAGGGGAGGUAAAAUGCCCGGGGGGCAGGUGACAAGGAGGAAGGAGCGGGAGGAUUACGGGGGCAAAGGGGGGCUUUGGGGCCGAUCCGUGCUCCGGGGUGGCAAAGGGGGGGGACCAAACCGGAGUAGAAAACCACGUAUUGG
rnacentral:rRNA from 1 species